rnacentral:rRNA from 1 species
UACGGAGGGGGCCAGCGUUGUUCGGAAUUAUUGGGCGUAAAGGGCGCGUAGGCGGCCGAAUAAGUCUGACGUGAAAUCCCCCGGCCCAACCGGGGAACUGCGUUUGAAACUGUCCGGCUCGAGUCUGGGAGAGGGUAGCGGAAUUCCCAGUGUAGCGGUGAAAUGCGUAGAUAUCAGGAGGAACACCUGUGGUGUAGACAGCUUACUGGACCAUUUCUGACGCUGAGACACGAAAGCGUGGGUAGCAAACAGG